CAUAGCGACUAUCGUGGCAUAUCAAUAAGCGGAGGAAAAGAAACUAACUAGGAUUCCCUUAGUAACGGCGAGUGAAGCGGGAAGAGCUCAAAUUUGAAAUCUUCAAGGUUUUACCUUGACGAAUUGUAGUUUGAAGAAGUGUUUUCUGUUGGAGUUUUGGUAAAAGUUCUUUGGAAUAGGACAUCACUAGAGGGUGAGAAUCCCGUAUUUGACCAGUUACUUUCCAGCUGUGUGAUACACUUUCAAAGAGUCGGAUUGUUUGGGAAUGCAGUCCAAAAUGGGUGGUAAAUUUCAUCUAAAGCUAAAUAUUGGCGAGAGACCGAUAGCGAACAAGUACCGUGAGGGAAAGAUGAAAAGAACUUUGAAAAGAGAGUUAAACAGUACGUGAAAUUGUCAAAAGGGAAGCGUUUGACACCAGUGUUGUUUAGUUGAAAAUCAAUUCAAUAAUUUUUGAUUUUGAGUAGUAUUGACUUUAUCAGCUUGCUGCUUUCUUUUCGAAAAUUAUUGAAUGCACUUUUCAGUUAACAAGUCAACAUCAAUUUCUUUUGUUGUAAAAGGGUAAGAGGAAGGUGGCUUACGCUUCGGCGUAAGUGUUUAUAGCCUUUUACCUCUGCAAUCGGAGAGAUUGAGGACAGCAGCGUAGACUCUUCGGGGUUAGAUACACCUGUGCUAAGCUAUAGCCUUGUAUAGACAACUUGUUGACUAUGCUCAGUCAUGUAGCUUACUCGCUUGUGCUAUUUUACCUACGCUUAGGAUGUUGACGCGCGUGUGUGCGUG
rnacentral:rRNA from 1 species